GCGCCCGUCUUAGGGGAGUAGUCUGCUGUGCCACCCCCGGUGCAGCGCCGCCGUCAACAUAUUUGGCAUCCGUGCCAUGGCGUCGGCAGCCGUUUCACGGCCUGGCGAGACCUUUGACGUUUCCCUUCUACCCGAGCCGGGCGAAGGGCAGCGUCAUUGGUUCAUGUGCCCGG
rnacentral:sRNA from 2 species